GCCGGUGAGGCACCAGUUGGCAGGUGCGGCGGGCCGUAACCCCGCUGCCUUCGGGCUUCGGGGGUUCGAUUCCCUCCACCGGUA
rnacentral:tRNA from 1 species